GACGGAGGAUGCAAGCGUUAUCCGGAAUGAUUGGGCGUAAAGCGUCCGCAGGUGGCAGUUCAAGUCUGCUGUCAAAGACCGGGGCUUAACUUCGGAAAGGCAGUGGAAACUGAACAGCUAGAGUAUGGUAGGGGCAGAGGGAAUUCCUGGUGUAGCGAUGAAAUGCGUAGAGAUCAGGAAGAACAUCGGUGGCGAAGGCGCUCUGCUGGACCAUAACUGACACUCAGGGACGAAAGCUAGGGGAGCGAAUGGG
rnacentral:rRNA from 1 species